UACGUAGGGUGCGAGCGUUAAUCGGAAUUACUGGGCGUAAAGCGUGCGCAGGCGGCGCGUUAAGACAGGUGUGAAAGCCCCGAGCUUAACUUGGGAAUUGCGCUUGUGACUGGCGUGCUGGAGUGUGGCAGAGGGAGGUGGAAUUCCACGUGUAGCAGUGAAAUGCGUAGAUAUCAGGAGGAACACCGAUGGCGAAGGCAGGUCUCUGGGCUGAAACUGACGCUCAUGCACGAAAGCGUGGGGAGCAAACAGG
rnacentral:rRNA from 1 species